AUUGAACGCUGGCGGCAGGCCUAACACAUGCAAGUCGAACGAGUGGCGGACGGGUGAGUAAUGGCUGGGAAACUGCCUGAUGGAGGGGGAUAACUACUGGAAACGGUAGCUAAUACCGCAUACCAUCAGAUGUGGCCAGAUGGGAUUAGCUAGUUGGUGGGGUAACGGCUCACCAAGGCGACGAUCCCUAGCUGGUCUGAGAGGAUGACCAGCCGGACGGGAAAGGAGUGUCGGUCCGGACUCCAACUGGAUGACGCAGCAGGGAGGAGUGCACAAUGGGCGCGAGCCUGAUGCAGCCAUGCCGCGUGUAUGAGAAAGGCCUUCGGGUUGUAAAGUACGUGCAGCGGGGAGGCGUUACCCGCAGAAGGAGCACCGGCUAACUCGGGGACAGCAGCCGCGGUAAUAC
rnacentral:rRNA from 1 species